GGCGGCUUAGCCAAGUGGUAAGGCAACGGUUUGCAAAACCGUAAUUCCUGGGUUCGAAUCCCAGAGCCGCCU
rnacentral:tRNA from 1 species